rnacentral:lncRNA from 1 species
UUAUUGUCAAGCAAGUACAGACUAAUUGUCGAAGGUUGGAAUUUAGAAAGAAUUACAGGAAGCAUAAAAGGGCCCCCAUAAUCUAUCUAGUAGAAUUUUUUGUUUGUUUUGAGAUAGUGUCUCCCUGUAGCCCAGGCUACAUGGUUUUGAACUCACGGCAUCAGGUUUCCAGGUGCUGGGAUGACAGGCAUGCACUACACCUGGCUUCUUAGUGGUGUUUUUAUUCUUACGGGGCCUCAUGUAGCCCAGGACAGCUUCAGAUUUGCUUCUGUAUAUAAAGAUGACCUUGAACCUCUGCUCCUCCUGCUUCCACCUCCCAGGGCUGGCAUUGCAGGCACCACCAUGCUCAGUUCUGCAGUUCUUGCUGUGUGUGGUGGAAAGGCACUCCACCCAUGGAGAUACAUCCCCCGCCCUCUUUCUCUUUCUUUUAACAUAUGUAUAUUUCUAAUACAUGUUCGACUAGAAACAUGGUAUCUGUGUGAGGGUUACUCAACAGUUUAUAAAAGAAUUUCCAAUCUGAAGAUGGAGAGAUGGCUUAAAGGUUCACAGAGGACCAGGGCUUGAUUCCCGCAAGGCAACUCCCAACCAUCUUGAGCUGCAGAGGACGCAGUGCCCUCCACUGACCUUGGUGGGCAUGCAUGCAUGCAUGCAGUGUACAGAUACACACAAAGGCAAAGUACUUGUUCAUACCCAUUAAGUCAGAUAAAUAAAUCUUUUUUAAAAGGA